rnacentral:rRNA from 1 species
GCUGGAAGCGCAUGGGUAUGGAAACUAGUAGUGAAUAUCAAUGGAAAUGCUAUGUGCAUACGGCCUAAUACGCUGGAAGCAUAGUAUGGAAGCUUGGUAGGGUAGGUACUAGUGGAAAUGCCCAUGUGUAUACGGCCCCGAUCGCUGGAAAAGCGCAUAGUGUGGAAAUUUAGUAGUAGUCCCAAUGCUAGUGGAAGUGCUUAUGUGUAUACGGCCCUGAUAGCUGGAAGCAUAGGAUGGAAACCAAGUAAAUAAAACC